rnacentral:sRNA from 1 species
UCCUUUAUGUACUCCAAUGGUCAAUUGAUAAGUGUGUAUUUUGCAUGUUUUGAACAUCCAUUUGUCAUCACUUUAGCAUCAUAUCAUCACUGUUUUAUACCAUUUCUCAUCAUUUGUCAUCACUUUGCAUGUUUAGGAUAGCGUUUGAAUGCAUGUUGCAUAUUUGUGUUGAUUUCAGGUGAUUUGGAGUUGUUGACGAGCUAACUGGAAGAAGCGGACCUGAUCAUGUCAAACCACUCGACCACAAGGUCGAGUAGAAGCUUCAAGACCUCAACAGACCACUCGACCCCCUGGUCGAGUAGGGGACUUCACAAUUUCAUCUCAUCACUCGACCCCCUGGUCGAGUGUAUUCACCUCCACCACCUGACCGUCACUCGAUCACAUCAUUCGACCUCGAGGUCGAGUGUCUUCACCUCCACCACCUGACCAUCACUCGAUCACGUCACUCUAUCUGGAAGUCGAGUAUCUUCAUCACCACUAGUCGACUACAUACUCGAUGGCAAGCUUCAGAGUCUCCAUUCCGCACUCAACCAGACACUCGAGCACAAGGAAGAAAAGAAGACUCCAUCUCAUCACUCGACCUCUCACUCGACCACAUGGGUCGAAUACAGUUCUUAAUCCGUCCCAAUAUUGCGUCGUUUUGAGUAUUAGGGUUUCAGAAUAUUUUGCUAUAAGUAGCAUGUACUUUACAUUUUCGAGAACAAGUUUUUAUCUAGUUUUAUUCCGCAGACACUAUGUUCUAGACCUUUUGUAAUCCGGAUUUCUCUUUAUCUAUUCAGUAUUCAGUAUUUGUUCUUGAUUUCGUUUACAGUUGUUCAUCCUGUUAUCAUUUUGCUAUUACUCUGUUGUUAUCAUGUUUUCAAUCCAUUCAACGUUUAUGCUUUCUGCAAUGAUGUCUCAAUAGUGAAUAGGUUUUCUGAGGAUGGGUUAGAGUAGUUGUUCUUAAUGCCUAUUGCUUUUUGAUCAACCGGAAUUUGAGCACAGACAUUUCCGCGCCCAAAAGGUGUUCGAUGAAAUGUGUGAACCACUAAUUCCAGAGAUUCAUGACCUUGUACCAAGGUAUUGGUUGCAGGGAGCGUUUUGGCUUUAACUUGUUGAUUCGUAAUGCCUGUUAGGUUAGCUCUCGUCAAUGGUGAUUGAGUCUGGGACUAGGUUAACUUGAGGGUCUCUGUUGCGGUGGCAUUUAGAUUUGGUUAAUGAACUUGUUGUCUAGGGAUAAUUUAUUGAGCAUGUCAAUCACCUGUAAACUGAGGAAACGAAACUACUCAGUUACCCCAUCUUCGGGAAUUCUUUAUCUGAUUGAUUUUAUUGUUUACUCUACUGCUGUUUACUACAUCUUGUCAUCUGUUGCUUAGUCUCUGCAAUUCUUUCCUUUUACUCGACCUGAUACUCGACCACCCUGUUGUUUAGCAACAGACUGUGCAGUCGAGUGUCUCUGUUUCGUUUAGUGACUGUUACUCGACCAAGUCACUCGACCACACCUACUGUUCUGUAACGAGCUGUGUUGGUCGAGUGCUUUUAUUAUUCUGCUUGAAUUUCUGUUUUCUGCAUGUUCACUUAGGACUGCUAGAACACACCAAAACCAGUUAUUGCUUGGCUUGACUUAGUUACUUCUGAUCACAUCUUGAUUGUUAGCAUCACACCCAUUUGGAUUGACAACCUUAAGUACUACAACGACAUGAUAGUGCUUUAGGAUUAAUUGAUCUUAAAAACCUAUUAUCAAUUUGGCGUCGUUGCCGGGGAGAAUCAUGAGUAAUUACAGUGGCAGUUCUUUAGUUGAUUCUCACUACAACAUGGAUGAGACAGAGUCGUCAUCUUCAAGGCCAGAGAGAGAACAGAGAGAAUAUGACAGCUUUAGAAGAAAAGCUGAGAUAGCUCGAGGGAAGAGAGUGAUGACAUAGAGGUAUGAGCUUAUAGAUGAGGAUCUGGAAGACGAGUACAUGCUUGAGCAUACUCGCAGAGCCACCAAAUUUCUGCACAAAGCCGAUGUAUUGCUUGCUGAGGAAUAUAUUAGGCUCUUCAAACUGAAUGAGUUCUGUAGCACGAGGUAUCCUUGCUCGACCACACUUGCACAACUCGAAUUAUUGGAGGAUGUUCAGCACCUGUACCAAAGUUGUCAUCUGGACACUCUGAUGGCUUAUCCGUAUGUAGCAUAUGAAGAAGAGACAAUUAAAUUCCUCUCUACGCUGCAAGUGGAGCUUUAUCAAGGUAUGACUUCUGAUGAGUUGGAUUGUGAAGGAUUGGGAUUCUUGAGAUUCUUUGUGUAUGGUCAUGGGUAUAGGUUAUCAAUCAAGCGCUUGGAAGGAUUGUUUGGUUUCCCCAGUGGAACGAGAACUAAGCCCAAGUAUGAUAGAGAAGAGUUGAAAGAUUUAUGGAUCACCAUUGGCAGCUCUGCACCGCUGAACUCUUCUAGGUCAAAGAGCAAUCAGAUACGUAGCCCUGUCAUCAGGUACUUCCAGCGUUCUAUAGCCAAUGUACUCUACUCACGAGAGAUCACAGUGACUGUUACUAAUUCUGAUAUGGAGAUGAUCGCUAUGGCUCUCAAGGGAACUCUUCGCCAAACUAAGAACGUCAUGUCUCUCCAAGGUGAAAUCAAUGACACACCUCUCUCUGUACUUCUUCUGAUCCAUCUGUGUGCAUACAAGAACUAGGUUGUCAGCAAUAACCACAAGAGAGCACGAGGCGCUCUGUGUAUAAGUGGUGUUGUGACACCGAUUCUGAUAGCUUGCGGAGUCACAAUCACAUCUGAUGGACUCGAGACACGGGCAAUGGAUAUCGAGCAUCUACGUCACUGCAAAUUCCUGGAGUUCGCAAUGGUUGGCGACUUGCACCGGUUCAGGUUUGAGCACUCUACAAAUAAGAGAGCUAGCAUACUUCUCCCUAGCCCUGAGGUUACACGGAUAAUAGAGGGAGAUAACAUUGAUUUUCGGCCUGAGAUUGGACGCCUCUACUAUGAGAACGCUCCGCCAUUGGAUGAGGAUGAUCUUCUAGAAGAGGCUGCUGAGGAUGGGAUGGAUGAAGAACGAGCAGUGGAGUUCGACACUAGCAUGUAUCCCUUUGGUGAACAUGUACCUCGAGCGAGGGAGAGCAAGAGCUUGAGUGAAGCUCAUAGGAACAACAGUAAACUACAAAAGUGGUGCAAGAAGCAGGAGAAGCUGCUCGCCAAGUGUUUCAAGACUAUCAAGUUAUUGAAAGAUAAGCUGAGUUGUUCCUCCUCCACUACUGCUAUUCCAUAGGGUCAGCCUCCUCUAGAGAUGCCAUCGAGGAGAUUUGAUGAGCCUGAGCACAGGCCUGAGCUUAGUGAGCAGAGGGUCUCACAUGUCCAGGCUAGGCAUUCGUCAUUCGAGUCCCGGGAGCACAAGAGAAGGAGGAAGGCUACACUCACUCGAUCUAGCAACAGAUCACGCAUAAUUCACUCGAGGAGAUCACUCGACCGUGGUACUGGCCGCAGCAGAAGAAGGGAGGUCGAGUAUCCUCAGAGCGGUGCUGGCCGCCAUAGAGUUGAUAAGGUCGAGUACCCACCUGCUGGAGCUGAUACGGAACAAGGCGGUUCGUCUAUGGCCUGGGAGCAAUCACAGGCAGCCAUUAACGACCAAUUUUGUUCAUUCUUUGACUGAGGUAAGCGCCUCACUUCACCAUUGUAUUAUAUCAUCUGUUGUGAUUUGUUCUUCAUUUUGUUUCUGUGAUUGAUUUGUCCUGAGUACUCUCUUCCAAGUUUAUUCACACAGUGGACUAUGUGAUUUAAGUUUGGGGGAGGGCUUAGGAAGUGUGUGUUGCAUUGUGUAUAUUUUUGAGUCUGCAUUCAUCUAAGGCAUAGAAAAACAAAAAAAAUUUUGAAAAAUUUCAGAAAAUGAUUUAAAAAAA